GGGCCCGUAGCUCAGCAAGGUAGAGCGCUGGGCUCCAGACCCAGUGGUCCGGGGUUCGAGUCCCCGCGGGCCCA
rnacentral:tRNA from 1 species